rnacentral:rRNA from 1 species
UACAGAGGUGGCAAGCGGUGUUCGGAAUUACUGGGCGUAAAGGGCGCGUAGGCGGUCUUGUCAGUCCCUUGUGAAAUCCCCCGGCUCAACUGGGGAACUGCACGGGAAACAGCAGGGCUUGAGUUCGGGAGAGGGAAGCGGAAUUCCGGGUGUAGCGGUGAAAUGCGUAGAUAUCCGGAGGAACACCGGUGGCGAAGGCGGCUUCCUGGACCGAUACUGACGCUGAGGCGCGAAAGCUAGGGGAGCAAACGGG